CCCUUAGAUGUUCUGGGCCGCACGCGUGCUACACUGAGUGGAUCAGCGGGUCAGGUUGCGCGAAAGCGUUUCCUAAUCUUUAAAUCCGCUCGUGAUGGGGAUUGACGGUUGCAAUUUUCUGUCAUGAACGAGGAAUACCUUGUAAGCGCGGGUCAUCAUCCCGCGCUGAAUACGUCCCUGCCCUUUGUACACACCGCCCGUCGCACCUACCGAUUGAAUGUUUCGGUGAAGAUUCCGGAUAGGACUUUUUUGAUUUAUUUCAAUUUUGUCUUAAAAGCUAUCUAAACCUCAACAUUUAGAGGAAGGUGAAGUCGUAACA
rnacentral:rRNA from 1 species